UCCAGACUCCUACGGGAGGCAGCAGUGGGGAAUAUUGCACAAUGGGGGAAACCCUGAUGCAGCGACGCCGCGUGAGUGAAGAAGUAAUUCGUUAUGUAAAGCUCUAUCAGCAGGGAAGAAAAUGACGGUACCUGAGUAAGAAGCCCCGGCUAACUACGUGCCAGCAGCCGCGGUAAUGCGUAGGGGGCAAGCGUUAUCCGGAUUUACUGGGUGUAAAGGGAGCGUAGGCGGGAAAGCAAGUUGAAUGUUUAAGGUACGGGCUCAACCUGUACAAGCGUUCAAAACUGUUUUUCUUGAGUGGAGUAGAGGUAAGCGGAAUUCCUAGUGUAGCGGUGAAAUGCGUAAAUAUUAGGAGGAACGCCAGUGGCGAAGGCGGCGUACUGGGCUUUAACUGACGCUGAGGCUCGAAAGCGUGGGUAGCAAACAGGAUUAGAUACCCGAGUAAGA
rnacentral:rRNA from 1 species